rnacentral:misc_RNA from 1 species
GAUGAAGAACGUAGUGAAAUGCGAUAAGUAAUGUGAAUUGCAGAAUUCAGUGAACCAUCGAAUCUUUGAACGCACAUUGCGCCCGGCAGUAAUCUGCCGGGCAUGCCUGUCCGAGCGUCAUUUCUACCCUCGAGCGAGUCCAGCAUCUAGGUGCUGGGCCUCGCCCGGCGUUGGAGCACUACGGGAAGCCCUGUGCUGUCCCCCGUAGGCCCCGAAAUGAAGUGGCGGUCCUGCCGCGGCGCCCCCUGCGUAGUAUAACAGCUCGCUUCGGGACCCGGUGGAGGCCUGCCGUCAAACUUAUACUCUCUAAGUUUGACCUCGGAUCAGGUAGGGUUACCCGCUGAACUUAAGCAUAUCAAUAAGCGGAGGA